CCACUAGGUUCUCACCAACUAACAAUAUUUCAAACCUUACUCAAACACAUCAAGAUUUAAUAAACAUCAUUGCAUUCCAAAAUAAAAUUUCAUAAAAAAUCCCCUUAAUCAAAUUAAAGUCUUAUUAUAUUAUCCAUAAUUCACUUAUUACAAAGUCUCAAUACCACAAACACAAUAAAAAAAUAAAACAUAUUCCACUAAACCACUCCAGGGGUAUCCUGAAGUCCUCCCUGUCCCACUUGUGGAUCCUCAGGAGUGAUAUCUGCAUCUAAAAAGAUAUAAAAAGGAAGGGGUAAGCAUUUCCACAUUGCUCAGUAGGAUGCCUAACACCUAAAGGGUUAAUGGGCCAUUACUAUAUUUCAAUAACCCAAACACAACAGUUUACCAAUAUAAAUCAAGUCACACAAUUUAACAUAUAACAUUAUACUCAAUCCCACAACAUCCAGUCAUUAAAUGAAUGCAUAUGAAUGUGUGACACACAGUCAUACAAUGCACUAUCGUUCUCGAGUUUUCACCGAAGGAUACGCGUCUACACCCAAAUAUACUCCCCAUUUGGAGUCUUCCCAAGGUAAACUUUUGGGUCUUUCACCCUAGGGAUCUCUCUCCCUUCUUAAUUCGCCUCACACGGCUUUCACUUUUCAUCACUAUUUUAUUUUUUUCCAUUUCAUACACUUUUCACAAAUUUUUUUUUUCAUACAACCAUGAUGCAAGUGAAUGCCACAAACUCCAAAAUUGCUCAAUAAUUUCUACAAUUCCAAUAAUUCCAACAUUCUCAAUAACCCAAUAAAAUGAAAUUUUCACAUUAAAAUUCCUGAAAAUACACCAAAAAUUUUCGAAAAUUCACAAAUCAAUAUACUUGAAUUUAUAUCACAAUUUCAAAAUUUUUCAAUAAUUUUAAUAAUUCCCAAUAUUUGAAAAUAACUAAUUUUCCACAAUAAAAUUACCACAAAUAUUCCAAUCAAUUUUCAAAAAUUCAUAAAUCACUAGAUUUGAAAUCUUGCCCUAAUUUCGGAAUUUUCCUAUAUUUCUAAUAAUUUUUUAACAACCUAAAACAAUUAAUUAUCAAUUACAAAGAAUUCCGGAAAUUACAAAAAAAAUCCAAAAAAAUCCCAAAUCAUUUUAGAAAAUUCACACAACAUCAAAAUUAUCUACUUAACUCAUAAUUAUCAGAUUUAUAAUUUUUUUUUCCAAUGAAAAAUACAUUAAAUUUGAGUUCUAGGGUUAGUUUUCCCCUACCACAAAUCUGAGAAGUUGACCGUUAAAAAUGAAAUCAGUCACCGUAGACUUGUUCCUCUAGUCGAAUAGAGCACUUCCUCCAAAUUUGGGUCGAAACGGAGGUCGUUUGGCCGUCCAAACAGCCGGUCAAAGAUCCAGCGAGUGACCAAAUUUCUGCACAGUGCCCUUCUCUCUCUCCCCGCGUGCUGCCAGUUUCUAAUUCUCCCUCUUUUCCUUUUUUUUUUUUUUUUUUCUUUUUACUAACCCUCCAGCCACACAAGCCUG
rnacentral:lncRNA from 1 species